AAAAAGACAAACCUAGGGUUUCCGUGUCCAACGUUUGACUGUCCGUCUUAUAUGAAUUUUUUUUAUAAUUAGUCUUUUCGUUGUUGUUAGAUGAUAAAACAUGAUUAAUACUUUAUGCGUGACUUGUCUUUUUAAUUUUUUUCAUAUUUUUUUCAAAUAAGACAGACGGUCAAACGUUGGAUACAGAAACCCAGGGUUUGUCUUUUU
rfam:Oryza sativa Japonica Group DNA, chromosome 3, cultivar: Nipponbare, complete sequence.